GCUUGCGGAGCCCCUGGAUGGCCCUGGCGUUGGCCUGGGACUGGGAGACGCAGACGGUCAGGACAAGGCUUUGGACAGACGGAGAUCCAAGGUGACAUCCCAAGGCGCAGUCCAGGCCUACCUGCCUCUGGGCCCACGCUCCGCCCCUGGGACCCUGCCUCCCUGCCUGUCCUCGUCUGGCUCCCGUGAGGUCCCGUGAGACUGCCCGGGGGUGCCCAUCGAAGGAAGGGCCCCCUCCCAGGUGUGCCCUCCCUCGGCCCCUGCUGCCCUGAGAGGCACCUGAGUAGGAUGAGGCAGGGGAAGCUGAAGGCGUGGGAGCCGAGGUAGUGGAGGGCGCGCUGGGCAGGGGGCGGCAGCCGGAGGGCCACCAGCUGUGGGACCACCUGCCAGGGGGCCGAAUAGUUGGCGAAGAGGCCACAGUCCCAGGAGGAGUGGAUGCUGGGGAGAGAGAGCCAGGGCAGGGCUGGCAGCAGGGCCCCCGGGCAGGAGCUCCCUGCCCACCAGCCGCAGGCGCCUCUGCCGCUCUCACCUGCUGACCACAUAGCCCAGGGGCACGACGGCCAGGAGCAGGCCCAGGAGGAGCACCAGCUGGAAGAAGAAGGUGAGGCUGGAGGCGCGGAGCCGCCUUGGAGAGGCCCUGGAGUUCCUCAUGAGGGUGUACUGGGGGGCAAGCAACGGCAAAUGGGGGUCCUUAGCCAGUCGCAGAUGCCAAGGAGCCCGAGGCCCGGGGAAGGGACCCCGAGGGGGCGGGCCGAAGCGGGGCCUGAGCCCCGCCCCGCUGACAGGGGCUCCACGCCCCCUCCCCAGCCGGUGUCGCUCACCUUCUUGAUGUAGAAGGUGAGGAAGAUGAAGACGCUGUUGAGCAGGGGCAGCAGCGGGCAGUAAAAGAGGCCCAUCCAGGUGAUCGUCUGCCCCGCCACGAUGUCCAGGACAUUCUUGGGCACCAGGAAUUCUUCCCGGUCCAGCCAGGUCCAGAAGCGGCCCGAGAACCGCUCCACCAGCAGCCUGGGGGCGGGGAGCGUCCCCGCACCACAUCAGUCACGACCAGGGACCGACCGCGCCCCACCGGCUUCCACGGAGACCCAUGGGAAGAACCGCUCACCCUUGGCUCGGCCAGCGGCCACCCCCAGACAAGCCCCGUCCCCCCCACCGUGGGUGUCCCCAGGCCUCACCUCCUCGGCAGGCUGACGAAGAAGGCAAAGGCCACCAUGAGGAGGAAGUUGAAGAUACUCAGCUUGUACAGCUCUUCCCCGACCGCGUUCUCCCAGCACUGGAGCAGAGGGGGACCUGUCACCCCUGGCCCCCAGCCGCCCCUCCCCCACCCGCGGGGUGGGGGGCCCUGUGGUGGCGGAGCCAGGCCAGAGUCUGACAUGGCUACUGAGUUAGAACCCGGGCCUCCGGGGUGAGAUCCGAGCAGGGAAACCCCACAGCGAGCGCGCGGUGUGCUGUGAAGGUGCCCCCUGGAGGUGUGCUGCCCACGCACAAAGGGGACCCUGGAGAGGGGCGGGAGGGACAGGCUUGGAUGGAGCCACCAGCCACCUGGUAAU